rfam:Candidatus Regiella insecticola 5.15 Rin_2504559865.16, whole genome shotgun sequence.
GCGCCCGUAGCUCAGCUGGAUAGAGCGCUGCCCUCCGAAGGCAGAGGUCUCAGGUUCAAAUCCUGUCGGGCGCA